UCUCGUCCUCUCAUGUGUUGCACAGGUUUUAUGCAGGCAGCACAGACUGUAGCCAUGGCCGCAGCACCAACUUCUCUUGUGCCGCCACCAGUAGCAACCAGCCAGGACACAGUGAAGGAAUCACCAUUCAGCUCUAUGAUCCCAACAACCAGCGCUAUGCCUGGUGGCUUCAUGUCGUCCGCUAUCCCUGGAGCCAGUGUGUUUAAUGCGGUGGGAGUUCAAAGUCAGCAGCACUCGAGUGACAAAAUGCCACCUUCCGCCAAGGGUUUGGACGGAACAGCGGAGCUCACGCUUCAAGGUAUGCAUAAUGCAGUUCGCAGUGGAAUGGGUC